UACCAGCACCCCGAGUGGUCGGGACGAUUAUUGGGCCUAAAGCAUCCGUAGCCGGUUUUACAAGUCCUCCGUUAAAUCCAGCUGCUUAACAGAUGGGCUGCGGAGGAUACUAUAAGACUAGGAGGCAGGAGAGGCAAGCGGUACUCAGUGGGUAGGGGUAAAAUCCGUUGAUCCAUUGAAGACCACCAGUGGCGAAGGCGGCUUGCCAGAAUGCGCUCGACGGUGAGGGAAGAAAGCUGGGGGAGCAAACCGG
rnacentral:rRNA from 1 species